rnacentral:rRNA from 1 species
UACAGAGGUCUCAAGCGUUGUUUCGGAUUCAUUGGGCGUAAAGGGUGCGUAGGCGGCGCGGUAAGUCGGGUGUGAAAUCUCGGAGCUUAACUCCGAAACUGCAUUCGAUACUGCGGUGCUUGAGGACUGGAGAGGAGACUGGAAUUCAUGGUGUAGCAGUGAAAUGCGUAGAGAUCAUGAGGAAGACCAGUGGCGAAGGCGGGUCUCUGGACAGUUCCUGACACUGAGACACGAAGGCCAGGGGAGCAAACGGG